UCCAAAUUCUUGGAGUGGCCCCCCCCAUCAAAAAUUACUGCCCCCCCAUUAGCACAAUGUCAACCAGUACUAGCAGGAUCACUGGCUUCUCAGAAUGGUGAUAUUCUAAGGGGUUGCCCCCCCGCCCAGUUUGCCCAGUGGUCAGCAACUCUUCACACAAUUCUGGGUCACUGAACAGAACUGCUGAGUUUGGAGGUUCAUAGAGUAGGUCAAAGCGCCUCAGCUCAUCUCCAUGAGAACAUUAUUAUUACUAGGAAAUGCACAUUGUGAUACACAAUCACUCCCUGAUGAGACCAUGUACCAAGCCUAAUGGCUCCCACUGAAACAAAAUGUAAUAUUCAGCUCUUACAACAGGCAUACACACUUGGCUCCUACUGAUGAUGCUUCUACAGAGAAGCAGGAUGAUUUCCUUGAGGUCUGAGUUUGUGGUAACUAUAGCAUAGGCGUAAAAACAAAUGUUUUAUCCUUCCCUCUCCUUUUUCCAACCCAACCCAAUGGAUCCUACCCCAGAGAAGAUGAGUAUAACACCAACUCUUUUUCAGAUGUCAGAAUCUCCUGUUUGGUUGACCCUCAAGGUUUACACUGAAACAGGUAGCAGGGGUAAGAAUCCACAUGAAGAAUCCACAUCCAAAAAGAAGUUUGCUCUGAAAUCAGAGCCUUCCAGAUAGACUCCAGGACAAUCCAGGAGGGCUGGCAACCCUAUGAGACUGGCGUGGGAAACCAAGCUGGGCGGUUCACAUUUCCACGUCACCAGGUUACGUCAAAGGCCUCUUCAAUUUGAUGGUUAAUGCGGGCCACAUUGUGCUGUAUCAGUGUCACACGUCUUCACCCGACUUAAUAGCGCAGAGGAAUACUGAAAACAGGAAACCAAAAACAGCUGAUAGAGCUGGAGGGCUUCUCACCAGAGAAGGUGCACGGGGAGGUGGCUUUCCUAGAGAAGACAUCUCUCCCUUUUGAGUGAAACGAGCCGCAACAACGGAGCACAGACCUGCGGAGUGAUGACUGACGGGUUCGGGACAGGAAACGAAGAAUCACUUUUGCAUUUGGAAUGACGGCGGAGUU